GAUGAACGCUGGCGGCGUGCUUAACACAUGCAAGUCGAACGGAAAGGCCCAAGCUUGCUUGGGUCCUCGAGUGGCGAACGGGUGAGUAACACGUGGGUGAUCUGCCCUGCACUUCGGGAUAAGCCUGGGAAACUGGGUCUAAUACCGGAUAGGACGAUGGUUUGGAUGCCAUUGUGGAAAGUUUUUUCGGUGUGGGAUGAGCUCGCGGCCUAUCAGCUUGUUGGUGGGGUAAUGGCCUACCAAGGCGUCGACGGGUAGCCGGCCUGAGAGGGUGUACGGCCACAUUGGGACUGAGAUACGGCCCAGACUCCUACGGGAGGCAGCAGUGGGGAAUAUUGCACAAUGGGCGCAAGCCUGAUGCAGCGACGCCGCGUGGGUGAUGACGGCCUUCGGGUUGUAAACUCCUUUCGCUAGGGACGAAGCGUUUUUGUGACGGUACCUGGAGAAGAAGCACCGGCUAACUACGUG
rnacentral:rRNA from 1 species